rnacentral:sRNA from 2 species
GACAACUUAAGCAAUGCAAUCCCUGCCUGCUAUUGCAUCCUUGCGGCCCUGAAGCCGCGCCAGUGUGAAUAAGUCCUCUCCGUACCAU